rnacentral:rRNA from 1 species
GACGAACGCUGGCGGCGUGCCUAAUACAUGCAAGUCGACCUUAAUGGCGAACGGGGGAGUAACACGUGGGUAAACUGCCCAUCAGAAGGGGAUAACACUUGGAAACAGGUGCUAAUACCGUAUACUACUGGAUAGAGCCGCGAUGAAUUAGCUUGUUGGGGAGGUAACGGCUCACCAAGGCCACGAUGAAUAGGCGACCUGAGGGGGUGAUCGGCCACAUGGGGACUGAGACACGGCCCAAACUCCUACGGGAGGCAGCAGUAGGUAAUCGUCGGCAAUGGACGAAAGUCUGACCGAGCAACGCCGCGGGAGUGAAGAAGGUUUUCGGAUCGUAAAACUCUGUUGUUAGAGAAGCGGUAUCUAACCAGAAAGCCACGGCUAACUACGUGCCAGCAGCCGCGGUAAUAC